GGGUGCGAUCAUACCAGCACUAAUGCACCGGAUCAUACCAUCAGAACUCCGCAGUUUAGCGUGCUUGGACGAGAGUAGUACUAGGAUGGGUGACCCCCUGGGAAGUCCUCGUGUUGCACCCC